rnacentral:rRNA from 1 species
CAGUCGCCACGGGAAUACGUAGGUGGCAAGCGUUGUCCGGAAUUAUUGGGCGUAAAGGGCUCGCGGGCGGUUUCUUAAGUCUGAUGUGAAAGCCCCCGGCUCAACCGAGGAGGGUCAUUGGAAACUGGGAAACUUGAGUGCAGAAGAGGAGAGUGGAAUUCCACGUGUAGCGGUGAAAUGCGUAGAGAUGUGGAGGAACACCAGUGGCGAAGGCGACUCUCUGGUCUGUAACUGACGCUGAGGAGCGAAAGCGUGGGGAGCGAACGGGAUUAGAUACCCCUGUAGUCCCUGUCUCUUAUAC